rnacentral:rRNA from 1 species
GACCUCAAGUCAUGUGAGAGUACCCGCUGAACUUAAGCAUAUCAAUAAGCGGAGGAAAAGAAACUAACAAGGAUUCCCCUAGUAACGGCGAGUGAAGCGGGAAGAGCACAAAUUUUAAAUCUACCUGGUUUUCAGGUUGAGUUGUAAUUUGAGGAUACGUUUUUGAUAUUCCUGGUUGGACUAAAUCCUUUGGGAUAAGGUAUCAUAGAGGGUGAGAAUCCUGUGUAUACCAACCACAGGGAUGUUAUUUAAUAACGUUUUUAAGAGUCGAGUUGUUUGGGAAUGCAGCUCUAAAUGGGUGGUAAAUUUCACCUAAUGCUAAAUAUAAGCGAGAGACCGAUAGCGAACAAGUACAGUGAUGGAAAGAUGAAAAGAACUUUGAAAAGAGAGUUAAAUAGUACGUGAAAUUGUUGAAAGGGAAACGAUUGAAGUCAGUCAUGCCAGUGGGAAUCAACUUAGAGGAAACUCUAGGUGCACUUCUUCGCUUGGCAGGUUAGUGUCGAUUUUGGAUGUCAUAAAAUGACUGGGGGAAGGUAGCUCCUUUGGGAGUGUUAUAGCCCUUGGUAGAUGUGAUGUCUGGAAUCGAGGAUUGCAACGGAUACCCUUUAGGGCUAGUCACCUGAUCUCUAAUUAGUGCUAGAUUACGGACAGCAUGCUGACCGUGAUUUAAUUAUUGGUUAAAAGGUUAGAGUGCACAUAAAUUCGUUAAGGACACUGACGUAAUGGCUUUAAACGACCCGUCUUGAAACACGGACCAAGGAGUCUAACAUAUAUGCGAGUGUUA